rnacentral:rRNA from 1 species
UACAGAGGUCUCAAGCGUUGUUCGGAUUCAUUGGGCGUAAAGGGUGCGUAGGCGGCGCGGUAAGUCGGGUGUGAAAUCUCGGGGCUUAACUCCGAAACUGCAUUCGAUACUGCCGUGCUUGAGGACUGGAGAGGAGACUGGAAUUUACGGUGUAGCGGUGAAAUGCGUAGAUAUCGUAAGGAAGACCAGUGGCGAAGGCGGGUCUCUGGACAGUUCCUGACGCUGAGGAACGAAGGCCAGGGGAGAAAACGGG